UCAAAGUGAUACUGCAGGUUUUCUGAUA
rnacentral:piRNA from 1 species